rnacentral:lncRNA from 1 species
GUGAGUGUGUUGUUUUUAAUUUUCUCAAAUUAUCAUCUUAAUUAUAGCUAUAUUACUUUUAAAGCAAUCUUUUGUCUUGUUGUGUCUCGGCCUUGACAUUGCCCCGUCCCUCGUCAUGUUAGCACGUGUUACACAGUUAAAGCCUGUGUGUUAUUUGCCUUCUUUCCUCUCAGCCUGAAUGUAUCCUUAGGAACAGGAUUUUAGUACCACCGCAGCGCCGCUUCGUUCCAGGCAUCAGGGUGUAACCAACGGUGACCCCGGUGUACACUGCCCACAUGGUGGCAUUUCAGAUAACUGAAAACGGUUUCACUUCUCCGCCAGUUUGUCUCCAGGUUUCGUCAGUGGGUCGUGGCAGAUGGGUCGCUAUGGUCCUCCUCUCUAUGGCCUCACAGGUCUACAUAAUGCACUGCAAUACUGUCUCGAAUCCAAGACGAUAUAGAAUUUUGCAAAACCAGAUGGAAGUCCCUCCGUGACACUUUUUUUAAGGCACCUACAGAAGGCCCAACCCAGCGGUUCUGGGGGAACCAAUCAGAAAGAAUGGAAAUACAUAUAUUAUAUCAUUCUUGAUACCUUACAUCCAGCCAACAAGCUCAAGAGGCAACCUCAGCCUUGAAAAUGCUGAUUCGCCUCAGCCACAACCUGUGGAGAUGGAUGACACUGAGGACAACGUGGGUUCCCCGAGCCAUGACCCUGUGCUUCAGAUGCCUGAACAUCAGUCAAGACCAACCACUACAGACACGGCUCAAGACUGGCAUCCAAGAAAAAGAAAACAGAAGGUCAACCAUCAAGAUGUGGAUGAAGAGCUGCUUGCAUUUGUCAGGAAGCCAAUCCCUUCUGCUGCUACCUCAGAUGAUGUGGAUGAGGUAUUUGUGCACAGCCUUGUGUCAGGAAGAAACAAGGGCACUCUGAAAAUGCAACUACUAUCAUUGAUUGUAAACUAGGAUGACCAGCAUGCAACACCUCUGCCACCACUUCCACCACCACAAUGGCUCUUUGAUGCUCUGCAUGGAAGAGUUGGACUGCAGCCUAUGAUGUACGGCCAGCCCAGGCAUCAAUACUCCUACUCACCAGGAUCUAUCUAACACAUAACUAGGAUGACCAGCAGGCAACACCACUGCCACCACCACGGCCUGCAAGUACUCCGCACGGAAAAGGUGGACUGCAGCCAAUCAUGUACGAUGAGCCCAGUGAUCAAUACUCACCAGAACUUAGGUCUCCAACACAUAGCUGGGAUGACAGCUUCAGUACAUUUUCUUAAGAGAGCUGGGUCCAAGAAUCCCAGUCACAUUGAUAAUCCCCUCCUAAAAAGACACAUCCCAUGUUCUGUUUUAGAGUUUUAAAAAGGGAAAGGUUUAUGUAUGCACUAUUUGCACUUCUUUGUUGUUGCAGUUAUAUUUGCAUUGCACCUUGUAUUUAACAUUUUUUUAAUCAUUUUUUGCUAUUCAGUGAAUAUUGUAAUUGGG